rnacentral:rRNA from 1 species
GAUGGACGCUGGCGGCGUGCCUAAUACAUGCAAGUCGAGCGAACGGACGAGAAGCUUGCUUUUCUGAUGUUAGCGGCGGACGGGUGAGUAACACGUGGAUAACCUACCUAUAAGACUGGGAUAACUUCGGGAAACCGGAGCUAAUACCGGAUAAUAUUUUGAACCGCAUGGUUCAAAAGUGAAAGACGGUCUUGCUGUCACUUAUAGAUGGAUCCGCGCUGCAUUAGCUAGUUGGUAAGGUAACGGCUUACCAAGGCAACGAUGCAUAGCCGACCUGAGAGGGUGAUCGGCCACACUGGAACUGAGACACGGUCCAGACUCCUACGGGAGGCAGCAGUAGGGAAUCUUCCGCAAAGGGCGAAAGCCUGACGGAGCAACGCCGCGUGAGUGAUGAAGGUCUUCGGAUCGUAAAACUCUGUUAUUAGGGAAGAACAUAUGUGUAAGUAACUGUGCACAUCUUGACGGUACCUAAUCAGAAAGCCACGGCUAACUACGUG